rnacentral:lncRNA from 13 species
UUAUAAAAAUGUAGAAAAGGGGUUGGUUCAUCAUUUACAACCAAUGUCUAUUCACUUGGGCGUGGCCACUUGGCUGGGCAUGAGUUACCAUUAGAUCAAAACCAUUCAUUUUAGAAGACUUAAAUAACAUUGUAAUCUUUUCAAAAGUAUUCUUAUCAAACAUUUUAUCCAACCUGUAGAUGCAAGCCUCAUAAUUGAGGAAAAGCAGGGUAAUGUGGCUGUGCGUUUCUUUUUUUCCCCCCAUGGUAUCACAAUGGUGAACAAAGUGGACGGAUCGUAGCUCUCCCCCCCCCCCCCCCCCCAUUUACACAAUUUCAAAAAUAUAUAUAUUGUUCAAUUCUCAAAUUCUGGGACGUUGUGCAAUUGGGCGGGAGAGUCCCUUUGUCUUGGGCGGGAGAUUCCCUUUGUCUUGGGCGGGAGAUUCCCUUUGUCUUGGGCGGGAGAGUCCCUUUGUCUUGGGCGGGAGAUUCCCUUUGUCUUGGGCGGGAGAUUCCCUUUGUCUUGGGCGGGAGAUUCCCUUUGUCUUGGGCGGGAGAGUCCCUUUGUCUUGGGCGGGAGAUUCCCUUUGUCUUGGGCGGGAGANNNNNNNNNNNNNNNNNNNNNNNNNNNNNNNNNNNNNNNNNNNNNNNNNNNNNNNNNNNNNNNNNNNNNNNNNNNNNNNNNNNNNNNNNNNNNNNNNNNNGUGUGUGUGUGUGUGUGUGUGUGUGUGUGUGUGUGUGUGUGUGUGUGUGUGUGUGUGUGUGUGUGUGUGUGUUGAAGACAGUGUGUGCUGUGUUUUGAUGUGUUCUGCUGUGUGUUACAGACGGUCUCUUUGGGCAGUGCCGUACCUCUAAGCAGGACCAGGUGCAGUACCAGGUGUCAUUUCUUGUUUUGAAGAGGAUGCAGGAAGUCCUCAAGCAGCUCAUGCUACAGGGUGAGUCAACAGCCUAACACAACCACUGCAUGUGGUUGAAAUCUAGGGGCUCUAUUUUAAACAAACCAACAACAACAACAAAACAACAAAAAUAAGGUAAAUCUUAGCUCUAGGUCCGGGGGUGUGUCACAAAUAUUUGUGUUAUUUACAUAAUUAUGAGGCCCAAUAGCAGGCGGUGGUUCAAGAGGGCUGGGUUUUGAUUUAUAAACAAAUUGUUGGUGUGACGAGGCCUUGGCCACUCACUAGCCAAUCAACACAUCCAUUGUCUUAAUGUUGCAUGUUUAUCUCUGGUUCUGUAGGUUAUUGAUGGUCUUUGAGUUGUCAUCAACUCCAAUUCGGCUGUGUGCGCGGAAUAUUCUCGUCCUGGUCGACUGUGGAUUGAUAUUACAGUUUAUUAAAUAGCAUAGGCUACAGUAACAAGUGUUAGCAAAAGUUAAAAAAAAAACAUCCAGUGUUUGCUCAAUAGCCAAUAUUGUUGUAAUUGGUUUCAAUGAGCCUAGCCGAGCCUAGCCAAACCUUGCCGAACAUAGCGUAGCCGAACAUAGCCUAGCCGAACCUAGCCUAGCUGAGCUGAGCCUAGCCGAGUUGAGCUGAGCCUAGCCGAGCCGAGCUUAGCCGAGCUUAGCCGAGCCUAGCCGAGCCUAGCCGAGCCUAGCCGGCCUGAACCUAGCCGAGCCUAGCCGAACCUAGCCGAGCCUAGCCGGCCUGAACCUAGCCUAGCCUAGCCGAGCCUAGCCGAUCCUAGCGUAGCCAAACCUCACCGGCUCGAACCUAGCCUAGGCGAGCCGAGCUGAGCCUAGCCGAACCGAGCCUAGCCGAACCUAGACUACUUGUCUUUAAGUGUCGCACUUCUCCUAAAAUAAAAUAUACUUGUCAGCUUUGCAAGGCCAGGAUAAAAACGAAACAACGUAUUGCUGAACUAGCCUUCAUUAUAUUAGCCUUUGCCCAGAGGACGCAUAACAUUCGCACAUCUGUACAAAACACUGGGCUCCUGUCAAAUGUACCUAUGUGUGAGGCAGAUUAUUAUGUUUUUCUCAAUCUGCCGUAGAUAUGGUAUUAUAGGAGGACUGAAUAGUUUGAAGCGUGUCUUUUGAGGGUUUGGCCGGGGUAGGCAGUCAUUGGCCGUUUGGCCGGGGUAGGCAGUCAUUGGCCGUUUGGCCGGGGUAGGCAGUCAUUGGCCGUUUGGUCGGGGUAGGCAGUCAUUGGCCGUUUGGCCAGGGUAGGCAGUCAUUGGCCGUUUGGCCGGGCUAGGCAGUCAUUGGCCGUUUGGUCGGGGUAGGCAGUCAUUGGCCGUUUGGCCUGGGUAGGCAGUCAUNNNNNNNNNNGUGUGUGUGUGUGUGUGUGUGUGUGUGUGUGUGUGUGUGUGUGUGUGUGUGUGUGUGUGUGUGUGUGUGUGUUGAAGACAGUGUGUGCUGUGUUUUGAUGUGUUCUGCUGUGUGUUACAGACGGUCUCUUUGGGCAGUGCCGUACCUCUAAGCAGGACCAGGUGCAGUACCAGGUGUCAUUUCUUGUUUUGAAGAGGAUGCAGGAAGUCCUCAAGCAGCUCAUGCUACAGGGUGAGUCAACAGCCUAACACAACCACUGCAUGUGGUUGAAAUCUAGGGGCUCUAUUUUAAACAAACCAACAACAACAACAAAACAACAAAAAUAAGGUAAAUCUUAGCUCUAGGUCCGGGGGUGUGUCACAAAUAUUUGUGUUAUUUACAUAAUUAUGAGGCCCAAUAGCAGGCGGUGG